rnacentral:rRNA from 1 species
CCUACGGGUGGCAGCAGUGGGGAAUAUUGCACCAUGGGCGAAACCCUGAUGCAGCGAUGCCGCGUGAACGAAGCAGUCUCUCGGUAUGUAAAGCUCUAUCAGCCGGGAAGAAAAUGACGGUACCUGACACCGAAGCCCCGGCUAACUACGUGCCAGCAGCCGCGGUAAUACGUCGGGGGCAAGCGUUCUCCGGAUUUACUGGGUGUAAAGGUAGCGUAGACGGCAGCACGAGUCAGGAGGGAAAUCCCGGGGCUUAAACCCGGAACUGAUUUUGAUACUGGUCGGCUGGAGUGCAGUAGGGGGAAGUAGAAUUCCUAGUGUAGCGGUGAAAUGCGUAGAGAUGAGGAGGAACACCGGUGGCGAAGGCGGCUUACUGGACUGUAACUGACGUUGAGGCGCGAAAGCGUGGGGAGCAAACAGGAUUAGAUACCCUAGUAGUC